rnacentral:rRNA from 1 species
UACGAAGGGGGCUAGCGUUGCUCGGAUUGACUGGGCGUAAAGGGCGCGUAGGCGGCGGACACAGUCAGACGUGAAAUUCCUGGGCUCAACCUGGGGGCUGCGUUUGAUACAUGUCUGCUUGAGUUCGGAAGAGGGUCGUGGAAUUCCCAGUGUAGAGGUGAAAUUCGUAGAUAUUGGGAAGAACACCGGGUGGCGAAGGCGGCGACCUGGU